GGUUUUGGAUAUAGAAAAAGUUAAAGUAGGAGAUAGCAAUUUGUGGGAAAAUUAGUUGAACAACUAGAACAUUAAGAAAAAUAGAAAAUGUUUAUCAAAAAAAUAAAAUGGUUAUAAAAUAAGAAAAAAAGAUAAAAGGAUUACAAAAUUCUAACCCAAAACUAAUUUUUAACAUGCUCAUUAUUUACAUUUUGUGUUGACUUUACUCUCGUUCUUUACCAUAGAAGUCAUGUAAAAACUAAUAUAAUACAUGUGGUAUUACAUGUUGUAUAACAAUGACAUACAAAUAUAUGUUUCGAUGGAAGAUUCUUGAAACUUAUCAAUAUAAUUUGUGAUGGAAUUAAAUACGUAUUGAUGGAGGAAGUUUCAUUGAAAUAGAGCAUGUCAUACAUAUUAAAAUGUUUUGAAAAAAGCAUGCAUGCUUUAAGAUGCUUUAGAGCCGUAUUGAAUAUUUGGCUGUGGGUGUACUUUUUCAUGAUGAGUCUCUGUUGAUUUGUAAUUGGUCGGUCCAGUUUUAUAUUCUAUUAAAUCAUUAAAAAAACAAAAGUCAUAAUAUGCUUUUCGCUAGCAAAAAUUCUCAAACUAAUCUAUUCAUAAUAAGAGAAUUAAACUUCAUCCAAUGUUUUUUUGUUUGACAAACUUCAGCUAUAUUUUAUUCCAAAGUGUUUGGACCACAUUAGUUGUAAAUAAGCACUAUUAAGUGAUAUGUUGUUCACACUAAACAUUUUGGAAAAUUUAGGGAAAUAUCUGCACUCUUAUUUCAUUUCUUAUUUUAAAAUAAGGUUUGGAAAAAAAUUCCUCUAACUCUACUUUUUUUGUUUUAUAACAGAUAAAGUAAAUUACUUUGAAAUAGAAUAAAUAUCUUGUUCUUAUUUAUUACUACAUUUUUAUUUUCAAAAUAAGAAUGAAACUGAAUUACAUUGUGUAAUUAUUUAUUUUAAAAGUAAUAUAUUGAAAAUGCUCUAACUCGUCACUAAAAAUAUAUAUUAUUCUGUAUUCAAAAUCAUAUGUACAUAAAUGACGAUGUUAUAUGUAUUGACAAUAUAUAAAAUAUAAACCAAUGAGAUAUCAAUGUAAAAUAAUGAUAAAUUUUAUAAAGGGUUUGCCUUUUAAUUUGAUUAGCAAAAGAGAAGGUGACAUCGAAAACAUCAAGUAGUAAGUCGGCAUCUUAGUAGAUAGCCAUUCACGUGGUUGGAAAACCGAACAAUCUUUAUCAAUAAUUCAUGAGAGAAGAUUUGAGUUUUUUUCUUUUUCUCUCUUUGUUUUUAUAGCAUUCUCUUUCUAACCAUUUGGCUAUAAAAAGGCCCGACAGGUCUCAGUUUCUUCCCACAUCCAAAGAUAGAGAGAUGUAAGGUAUAGUCUUAAAUCCCUGAUAGAACAAUGAUAUAUAACUAUAUGAUCUUUAAAGUUAUAUUAGUUAUACAUAUAUAUGUAUAUAUUAGACAUAUGUGUGUGCAUAUGAAGGUAGAUUUGUCAGUUGAAUUGAUUGUUCUCGACAAGCCAAGGUUUUUGAGUCUGGUCACAUGCUCUCUCUUCCAUCGAAGGUAAGAGGAGGUGACAGAAGAGAGUGAGCACACAUGGUGGCUUUCUUGCAUGUUUUUUUCAAAAUUAGGGUUUCAUGCUUGAAGCUAUGUGUGCUUACUCUCUCUCUGUCACCCCUUCUCUCUCUUUUCUUUUGAAAAUGGUUAAUUUUGUUUGGUAAAAGAUCUAUAUUUGGUUUGAUUAUUUUAAGGUUCUAUGCUUAGUUAUACUAACAUCAAAUGGAUAAAAGUAAUUUGAGGUAUCUAAGCGUAGGUAGCUCUUGUGGAAGGUUUAAUCCUGCUCCUAAGCAGCAAACCUGGAACUUUGUUGGGGAACUGGAUUAUCAAUAACUGGUUCCUGACCAAAAGACUGUGCAAAAGAUGGAAAUUUUUUGAUUAACAAAAAGCUGGACUUGAACAAAUGCCUCUGUUCGAUUUAUGCGGCCAAUCAAAUCUGAUACACACUAUCACCUGAUAAAAAAAGAAAGAGAGGACUGUGAAAACUGUGAGAACCUUGUGUGACGAUCGGGAAUGUCGUGCUGCGAGUUUGUUUUUCAUUUUUCAUAGACAAUAUGGAUUAGUUAGCUAGUUAUAUGAAUGGGGAUUUAAGAUAGUUUAUCGCUUGUAAGUAAGGGAUAUUUUUAUCAAUUAGGGUUCGUCAGUUGUCAUCCCCUAUUCGUUCAAAAAUAUACAAGAUCGUGUAUCUAUUUGGCUAAUGUCCUGUCCAGUCAUUUAUUUCAUGUGUAAUUUACACAAAUUACCACUAAAAUUAAAAAUAUUCAUAUGAUUUUCAUUAA